rnacentral:tRNA from 1 species
GCCCGGGUGGUGGAAACGGGAGACACAACUGCCUUAAAAGCAGUUGCCGCGAGGCGUGAGGGUUCGAGUCCCUCCCCGGGCACC